GGCAGGAACACGGGAACAAUUUAUGUGGAUCUAUGUUUGCGAGUUCAUUCGACAGACAACCCAUCAGAAGGGCAAAACCCGAGACAUAAAAAAACCGAAAUCGAACAGUUGCGGGACGGUCUUCUACCACAGAAACGUGUAUGAGCAAUUCAAGAGGAAAUUGCCGGAUUCUUAGAUGCAGAGGUCCUAGAUGUUAAGGGAGAAUAGUAUUGUCAUUCGACGGAAAUGAUAUGAAAUGAUAUAGUGUAAAAAAGAUGCAUACAUGUGCAUGUAACUUGUGUCUACAUUUUAUAAAUAUGUUCGACAAAGCACGACGGAUGAGAUGGUGUAA